rnacentral:rRNA from 1 species
GACGAACGCUGGCGGCGUGCCUAAUACAUGCAAGUAGAACGCACAGUUUAUACCGUAGCUUGCUACACCAUAAACUGUGAGUUGCGAACGGGUGAGUAACGCGUAGGUAACCUGCCUGGUAGCGGGGGAUAACUAUUGGAAACGAUAGCUAAUACCGCAUAAUAUUGAUUAUUGCAUGAUAAUUGAUUGAAAGAUGCUAUUGCAUCACUACCAGAUGGACCUGCGUUGUAUUAGCUAGUAGGUGAGGUAACGGCUCACCUAGGCGACGAUACAUAGCCGACCUGAGAGGGUGAUCGGCCACACUGGGACUGAGACACGGCCCAGACUCCUACGGGAGGCAGCAGUAGGGAAUCUUCGGCAAUGGACGAAAGUCUGACCGAGCAACGCCGCGUGAGUGAAGAAGGUUUUCGGAUCGUAAAGCUCUGUUGUAAGAGAAGGACGGGUGUGAGAGUGGAAAGUUCACACUGGGACGGUAUCUUACCAGAAAGGGACGGCUAACUACGU